rnacentral:rRNA from 1 species
UACGCAGGCGGACUUGUAGGUAUCUUGUGAAAUCCCACGGCUCAACCGUGGAACUGCAGGGUAAACCACAAGUCUUGAGACAAGUAGGGGUCAGUGGAACGAUAUGUGGAGCGGUGAAAUGCGUAGAUAUAUAUCGGAACGCCAAUGGCGAAGGCAGCUGACUGGGCUUGUUCUGACGCUCAGGUACGAAAGCGUGGGUAGCGAACG